rnacentral:snoRNA from 1 species
CCAGUCUGAAAAUCACCUUUUGAUAUCUCUGUUGUCUGGGGUGAGAUUACAGGGCCUAUAGUACUGUGGUACGUUAAGCUUAUUGCCUGCUCUGUAUAGCAGUGUGAUUAAACCCAUGUGCCUACAAUC